UUUAAAAUUAAUAAGCUUUGUCUUGAUAAAUCAUUACCUUGAGUAUAUAAAAGGUGCUAAUGAUUUUGAAAUUAAUGAGCUCUUAAUCAUAUCUGACAUGGUAAAGUUAUCUUAUCAUGCUGGUGAAGAUCAUAAUUCUAAUGUUAAUAUGAAUUCAUUUAGUUUUUACGUUACUUUUAUGUCCAAAAUUUGUCAUAAAAUUUAAAAUACCAAGUGCACCAACAUUUUCCUAAAUAUAUUAAUACACACUCUCAAGAUCUUGAACACAAUUGGCACAUAGUGCAUAACAAACUUAAGACUGGAAAAUGCGUAGAAGAGGUAUGCUAAAUAGGUUUCUUUUUCCUCUAGCAAAAAGGAAUUAUGUAGGAUUCGAAUGAAGAAAUUCUAAGAAAAAUUUGUAUAUACACAGUUCUUUUAGACAAAUAAAGUUGCGCAUGGGAGUGACUAAUUCUUGAUGUAUAUCUUUUUUAUAAAACAAAUUAUCCAGCACCAUGAUUUUUUCCUGGAUGGUUGUCUUGGGGAAUACUUGCUUCUUUUUCCUAAAUUAUUGAAGAGCACAUAUCAAAGUUAAGGAGUUGUAGUGUAAAAGAAAUCAUACUGUACAUUUUCUUUGUAUUCAUGCCAUUUAUAGACCUUAAUUUGUUCAUGAUAUUAUUAUAAACUACUGAUAUCUUUAACUUGAGAUGUCAGUUUAUCAAAAUCUAUAAUUUUCAUUUGAAAAUGGAAGUAAUCCAAUAAUCACUAAGCACCAAUAGUAAAGAUUGUUGUUGAAAAAGUGGAAGACAAUUAAUUGUUAUGAUGAUAUUAAGAACUUGAUUUCCAAUUUUCAUUGGUUAUCUUUGGGGUUUAUUUUUAAUAGUUAGAUUUUUCAAAUGCAGAAGGUGGAAAAGCUGAAAUUGAUGUGCCUAUAGUUUGUAGCAGCAACUUAGUGAUUGAUAUCAUUUAUCCUUGAGAUUUUCAAGCUAGAAGAAUUGUUGGAUGGUUUAGUUGGGAAUUCAAAAACUCCAUCAAGGGCAGUUAAUUUACUCCCAAAAUAUCUAAGAUCCUAUUUCUAUUUUGAGGGAAUUUAAUGUUGAACUUGAGAGCAACAUUAAAAAUGGAAACAGUGGCAUCUUUGGGAUUGGGGCUUCUCCUAAUAGGGAUUUCAAAAUUUCCGGGGAUGAAACAACAUAAUUUUUGGGGGAUUGGUAGGGUUCUUUGGGUUGGUGUCAGAUAAUUUAUUGAAAUUUGAUAUCAAUUUUAGCAAUAAUUCACUACUUUUGGUCU